AAUAAUAAGAAUUUUUAAAGAAAUAUUAGAAGGAUCACAAAUAUCACUCAAAUACAUUACAAUUCAAUCUUAAUUUAAUUCUAGUUAAAAUUCUAUUAAACUUCAUUCAAACUUUAGGCCAAAACUAAGUGAAUCUUAAAUCCUUAUAAAAUCCUAAAUCCUAAAUCAGACCCUAAACAAACCUUAAACAAAAUCCUAAACCAAAUCCUAAUCAAAUUCUAAAUCCGAUAUCAAAUCCUAAUCAAAUCCUAAUCCAAAUCUUAAAUCUUAAAUCCUAAAUCAAAUCCUAAUCCAAAUCCUAAAUCCUAAAUCAAAUCCUAACUGAAUCCUAAACCCUAAAUAAAAUCCUAAUCAAAUCCUAAAUCAAACCCUAAAUAAAACCUUAACGAAAUCCUAAAUCAAAUCCUAAAUCAAAUCCUA
rnacentral:lncRNA from 1 species